UACGUAGGGGGCGAGCGUUGUCCGGAUUUAUUGGGCGUAAAGAGCGUGUAGGCGGCCAGGUAGGUCUGCUGUGAAAACUCGAGGCUCAACCUCGAGACGUCGGCGGAAACCAUCUGGCUAGAGUCCGGAAGAGGCGAGUGGAACUCCUGGUGUAGCGGUGGAAUGCGCAGAUAUCAGGAAGAACACCAACGGCGAAGGCAGCUCGCUGGGACGGUACUGACGCUGAGACGCGAAAGCGUGGGGAGCGAACAGG
rnacentral:rRNA from 1 species